UGCAGUGUGGAAUCUAUCUAAAUUUCAAGAAGAAACUAAUGGAGGUGGAGAUGGUGAUAAUAAUGUUGAUGGGCCCAAUGAGGUUGAUGCUGAACCUAGCACGGUGCAACAGAGCCAGCUACUGGAAAUGGUGACAAAAACAACUCCAAAAGAUGUAGUUGCGGCUACUUCACAAAGAAUGAAAUCCUCAUAUGAGGACAUGGAAGAAAUGAGAGGCAAUUCCGAUAGCUUAUUUUAUAUGCAGCUACUACUGGAGAAAAUGAUGCUUGAGGUCAAUUUUUUAGAUCAUCCAUAAUGUUCUAACUUAUCAAGUUUCAAUGAACAAAUCUCUAUUACAUCUCUUAUCAGCUGCUUGAAUUAUCUAACUGUGGUUCUUAUGCCUUAAAAAAAUGCAAUUGCAAAGGUGCAUGACUUAUUUAACUAUGGUUCUUAUGUCUUAAAAAAUUAUAUGUAGCAUGCUAAUAGAAGGAGGAAUCAUUACCCCCUUUAUAUUUUAUGUUAUCGUAGAUUUUUUAUCUCUUUGGAAUACAAUACUGAAAAUAUCAUAUUAAUUGUUGUUUUUGUUGAUGGUUGAGUUUAACUUGCCACUCUCUUUUAGUACAACUUAAAACAUCUUAAUUGCUAAGGAAAAUGGUGCUAAGUUUUAGUUAUAAGCAUAAAGUAGUUCUGGAGGAACAAUGGGAAGGGGAAAUAGGUGUUUUUAUAUUAGAACCAUUCUUAGUUAGUUCUUUGGAUAUAUGUAAACACAGAAGGGGAAAUAAGUGUUUAUGCAAAUGUCUUGUUGUGUAGACUCUGAUCUUAUGUCUCUUCCUGUCCAUUUGCUUGUUCUGUUUGCUGUUUUAAUCUUUUUUGGUGGCAUUUAAAGAAGCAAUAUCAUUUUCUUCAUUGGUGUUUUAGUUUUUUUUUCUCAUGGUUACAUUUCGGUUUACGGAAGGGAGGCCAACUUUAAUAAAAGAUUCUAAUGGAUAACAUGCAAUAACAAUUCAAGCCAUCAUGUUGAUUGAAGUUGCCUCACAUUUGUAUUCUCUAAAUCUCUUCCUCUACCAUAUACUUGUAAUGGUGUUGUUUGUGUGUUUUUUAGGUGUUUGGAAGGGGUGGGGAGGAGAUGGAUUUCUUGCAACAGCAAGGAAUUCACGUAAAAAUUGUUCCUGGUGCAACAAAGGAGUAAAGAUUUGUGGUCAAACAAAGAUGCCUAUAACUAGAUACUGCUAAAGCUAGAAGGGUCUGUUCAAGAAGAAUUAUGAAGGGAUCCAUACUUAUCAAAUGGAGAGGGACAGUAAACUCAUAGUGUUUGUAAAAUCAUACUGUUUGUAUUACUUGUAAUUUGUGUUUUCAAGGCCUGAAUUA